GCCCAGAGCACACUUGCUUCUUUCUCUGGAUCCUCUGGCAGGAUGGUGAUGUCACAAAGUAGAGGGCAGAGGGGGUGGCCAUAGAUAUACCCUGGGCUACCCUCACAGUGAACCUGCCCAUCACAAACAAGGGCUGCAGCAUGAAGAGGGCCAACCCUCUGCCUUUCAGGUACCUGCACUACCUAUCAGAUGACAGCCUGGCUGCCAGUUAGCAUCCCUGCUGACCCCUGUGGCCUGCCCUUUCCAGAGACUAUGCUCCAGCAGCCUUUCGAAGAUGCCACCUUGGAGGACAACAUCUUCUUCCCAGAGGGACUUGAGCAGCCCAGUGGCCUCCACCAGGUGAAAGGGAAAUGAUGAAGAUGAGUUAUCCUGAAGGCCCCAACCUUCAUUGUGGUAGCUAGGCAUAAUCUGGGAAGGCUUCCUGCAAGUGUCCCUGGCAACUACCAUUCUACUUUCUGUUCUGUGAAUUUGACUGCUUUAGAUACCUCAGUUGAUCAACAGCAUCUUUCACACCAUUUCCAGCCAGUGCCAGCCCUAAAAAGUGAUCCCUCAACACCACAGAAUUUGGGAGCAAGCUACAAGCCACUUCUCUACUCUCUAGGACAGUCAUCUGAGGUUCUCACCACACCCCAUGCUGCCCCUGAGCUUUGGCCCUUCUGCCUAGAAUUCUCCUUUCCUGAGCCUUUAUAUGCUUCUCUGUAGCAUUCUUGGAGUGCUUACCUCAUCAGGGUCUUAUUAAAUGCCUCCCUGCUCCUGAUGGCCUCUCCCAUAGUCUCUGUUUUAUGUUCUU